UGCCUCAGUAACUGCGAGUGAAGCGGCAAAAGCUCAAAUUUGAAAUCUGGUACCUUUGGGUGCUCGAGUUGUAAUUUGGAGAGGCAACUUCGGAGGAGGCGCUGGCCUAAGUUCCUUGGAACAGGACGUCACAGAGGGUGAGAAUCCCGUGCUUGGCUGGCUGUCCUCCUUCAUGUGAAGUGUCUUCGACGAGUCGAGUUGUUUGGGAAUGCAGCUCAAAAUGGGUGGUAAACUCCAUCUAAGGCUAAAUAUUGGCGAGAGACCGAUAGCGCACAAGUAGAGUGAUCGAAAGAUGAAAAGCACUUUGAAAAGAGAGUUAAAAAGUACGUGAAAUUGUUGAAAGGGAAGCGCUUGAGACCAGACUCGGUGAUUGGUGAUCAGCGGUUGCUUUUGCUCCGUGCACUUGCCUUUUACUGGGCCAGCAUCAGUUGUGACGGCGGGAUAAAGACCUAGGGAAUGUAACUCUCUUCGGGGAGUGUUAUAGCCCUGGGUGUAAUGCCGCCUGUUACGACUGAGGACCGCGCUUCGGCUAGGAUGCUGGCAUAAUGGUCUUCAGCGACCCGUCUUGAAACACGGACCAAGGAGUCUAACAUCUAUGCGAGUGUUCGGGUGUAAAACCCCUACGCGUAAUGAAAGUGAACGGAGGUGGGAACUCUUCGGAGUGCACCAUCGACCGAUCCUGAUGUCUUCGGAUGGAUUUGAGUAGGAGCAUAGCUGUUGGGACCCGAAAGAUGGUGAACUAUGCCUGAAUAGGGUGAAGCCAGAGGAAACUCUGGUGGAGGCUCGCAGCGGUUCUGACGUGCAAAUCGAUCGUCAAAUUUGGGUAUAGGGGCGAAAGACUAAUCGAACCAUC
rnacentral:rRNA from 1 species